rnacentral:piRNA from 1 species
UGAAUGAUGACCACGUUUGCGUACAAGC